GAGAUCAAAGAAGUUCGCGCGGGCGACAUCGCGGCUGCUAUCGGCCUGAAAGACGUGACUACCGGUGACACCCUGUGUGAUCCGGAAAACCCGAUCAUUCUGGAACGUAUGGAAUUCCCUGAGCCGGUAAUCUCCAUCGCGGUAGAACCGAAAACCAAAGCUGACCAGGAAAAAAUGGGUCUGGCUCUGGGCCGUCUGGCGAAAGAAGACCCGUCGUUCCGCGUAUGGACUGAUGAAGAAUCUAACCAGACCAUCAUCGCUGGUAUGGGUGAACUUCACCUAGAUAUCAUCGUUGACCGUAUGAAGCGUGAAUUCAACGUUGAAGCGAACGUGGGUAAACCUCAGGUUGCUUACCGCGAAGCGAUUCGCGCGAAAGUUACCGACAUCGAAGGUAAACACGCGAAACAGUCUGGUGGUCGCGGUCAGUAUGGUCAUGUUGUUAUCGACAUGUACCCGCUGGAGCCGGGCUCUAACCCGAAAGGUUACGAGUUCAUCAACGACAUCAAAGGUGGUGUAAUUCCUGGCGAGUACAUCCCGGCCGUUGAUAAAGGCAUCCAGGAGCAGCUGAAAUCUGGCCCGCUGGCGGGUUAUCCGGUAGUUGAUCUCGGUGUGCGUCUGCACUUCGGUUCUUACCAUGACGUUGACUCCUCUGAGCUGGCGUUUAAACUGGCUGCGUCUAUCGCCUUUAAAGAAGGCUUUAAGAAAGCAAAACCAGUUCUGCUUGAGCCGAUCAUGAAGGUUGAAGUAGAAACACCUGAAGAGAAUACCGGUGACGUUAUCGGCGACCUUAGCCGCCGUCGUGGUAUGCUCAAAGGUCAGGAAUCUGAAGUUACAGGCGUUAAGAUCCACGCUGAAGUACCGCUGUCUGAAAUGUUCGGAUAUGCAACUCAGCUGCGUUCUCUGACCAAAGGUCGCGCAUCGUACACUAUGGAAUUCCUGAAGUAUGAUGAUGCGCCGAACAACGUUGCUCAGGCCGUAAUCGAAGCCCGUGGUAAAUAAGCCGCAGGGUUAAAAACCAAAAUCCCGUGCUCUCUCCUGAAGGGGAGAGCGCUAUAGUAAGGAAUAUAGCCGUGUCUAAAGAAAAAUUUGAACGUACAAAACCGCACGUUAACGUCGGCACCAUCGGCCACGUUGACCACGGUAAAACUACCCUGACCGCUGCAAUCACCACCGUACUGGCUAAAACCUACGGCGGUGCUGCUCGUGCAUUCGACCAGAUCGAUAACGCUCCGGAAGAAAAAGCGCGUGGUAUCACCAUCAACACUUCUCACGUNAGAGAACUCGGGUGAAGGAACUAGGCAAAAUGGUGCCGUAACUUCGGGAGAAGGCACGCUGACACGUAGGUGAAGUGAUUUACUCACGGAGCUGAAGUCAGCCGAAGAUACCAGCUGGCUGCAACUGUUUAUUAAAAACACAGCACUGUGCAAACACGAAAGUGGACGUAUACGGUGUGACGCCUGCCCGGUGCCGGAAGGUUAAUUGAUGGGGUCAGCGCAAGCGAAGCUCCUGAUCGAAGCCCCGGUAAACGGCGGCCGUAACUAUAACGGUCCUAAGGUAGCGAAAUUCCUUGUCGGGUAAGUUCCGACCUGCACGAAUGGCGUAAUGAUGGCCAGGCUGUCUCCACCCGAGACUCAGUGAAAUUGAACUCGCUGUGAAGAUGCAGUGUACCCGCGGCAAGACGGAAAGACCCCGUGAACCUUUACUAUAGCUUGACACUGAACAUUGAGCCUUGAUGUGUAGGAUAGGUGGGAGGCUUUGAAGUGUGGACGCCAGUCUGCAUGGAGCCGACCUUGAAAUACCACCCUUUAAUGUUUGAUGUUCUAACGUGGACCCGUGAUCCGGGUUGCGGACAGUGUCUGGUGGGUAGUUUGACUGGGGCGGUCUCCUCCUAAAGAGUAACGGAGGAGCACGAAGGUUGGCUAAUCCUGGUCGGACAUCAGGAGGUUAGUGCAAUGGCAUAAGCCAGCUUGACUGCGAGCGUGACGGCGCGAGCAGGUGCGAAAGCAGGUCAUAGUGAUCCGGUGGUUCUGAAUGGAAGGGCCAUCGCUCAACGGAUAAAAGGUACUCCGGGGAUAACAGGCUGAUACCGCCCAAGAGUUCAUAUCGACGGCGGUGUUUGGCACCUCGAUGUCGGCUCAUCACAUCCUGGGGCUGAAGUAGGUCCCAAGGGUAUGGCUGUUCGCCAUUUAAAGUGGUACGCGAGCUGGGUUUAGAACGUCGUGAGACAGUUCGGUCCCUAUCUGCCGUGGGCGCUGGAGAACUGAGGGGGGCUGCUCCUAGUACGAGAGGACCGGAGUGGACGCAUCACUGGUGUUCGGGUUGUCAUGCCAAUGGCACUGCCCGGUAGCUAAAUGCGGAAGAGAUAAGUGCUGAAAGCAUCUAAGCACGAAACUUGCCCCGAGAUGAGUUCUCCCUGAGACUUUAGGUCUCCUGAAGGAACGUUGAAGACGACGACGUUGAUAGGCCGGGUGUGUAAGCGCAGCGAUGCGUUGAGCUAACCGGUACUAAUGAACCGUGAGGCUUAACCUU
rnacentral:rRNA from 1 species